ACCCACUGCCUUCAAAUGUCCUGCUUAUGAGUUGUGGCUCUGAUGAUCCAAACAGACGUUCUUUGGAGCUUGUGGCUUGGCAGUUACCUCACCUGUGUCCCCUUCCGGAGGGAGGAUGAAGCCCCUCUCUGGAUAAAUCUUUGCGUCUGCUGACUAGCAGGGUGGAGGAUUCCAAGGCGAGCAGACCUCCUUUUAUCAAAACCGGAGUGUUUUCCAUCCUCUGGCCUCGACACGUUCCAUGUUUCAUGCGCUGAAAUUACUGGCAAGUUUAUCUGCGGCAAAGACAGAAAGAGACCAAGAGGCAAGAGCCCAGUUCUGAAACACCUCUCAGCAGCCCAGUUCGGAUGUGCAAAGCAAACGGUGGCGACUUUUCCACCCUCAUCUUCUCUCUAGUGGUUUAUCCUCUCACAGUAGAAUUUCAUUUCCCCUAGAAACUUGGCACUGGAGGUGUCAGCCCGGGAACAUAUUUGUUUGUGUAAAUUAAAAGAAGAAUAUGUUUUGACCAUAUUUAAGUUCUGACCGCACUAAAGAAAUAAAUACUGAGUUGCACAAUG